GAGAAAAGUCUCACAGAUCUCUUGACCUGGUUGGCUUCAAACUGUGAUCCUUUGAUCUCAACUUCCUUAGCAACUGGAAAUAUAGGCAUGAGUCACUGGCACCAGGAAAUCUGCUAUUUUUAAAUAGUUCUAAAUACAGUAAAAUUUUUAUCAUUUCUAAGUGAAUUAAACCAGAGCAUCAAGUAUCUUCUUUUUCUGUGUAUUUUUCACCAAGAAUUAAACACAACAGAAAGGACUGACACUAAAUGUUAGAUAUUCUGUCAAGCACAAGUGCUUAAUGUCUUUUUGAGGUUCACUAUAAGCUAUCUCACAAAUUAUUUAAAUGUCACAAUUCAAAAUGUGGAGUCACAAUCACAGCAGACCA